GGUGGGGGCGUGGCCGGAAGGUGGGCGUGGUGGGCGGGGCGGGGCCGACGCGCGGCACUCACAGGGCAGCGUCUCGGCGCUGUUCUUCUGGAUCAUUAUGCAGAGCUGUAGCACCAGUUGGGGGGCGCUCUCCAGGAAGGUCUCCAGGAGGCGCAGCAUGUUGACGUCUGCAUAUUCGUACAUCAUAGCCCAGUAGAAGCGUCGCUGGUGUUCCUUCUGCCGCUGGCUCUGAAUCCCCAGGCACUGCCCUCCCUGCCAGCAUCGAGUCUCCUCAGCAGCCUGCACUUCCACUCUGCCCCAUGACAACCUCUUCACCUGGCACCCAAAGUGCUCUUUUCGGAUCCCGAGUGUGACGGUGCCACUCCCUCCCUCUGCUGACCUACCUCAGCUUGCCACCGCCCUCAGAGUAAGCCACAGCUCUCACGGCCCCCAGCCUUGCUGUCUCUGGGCUCACCCCUGUCCUCUUGUCAGCCCCUUCUCAUCUGUCUUUCCUGUCUGUCAUGAACUCCAACAAACGUGCUAGCAACGGGUCCCCCCUUCGGGGUCUGGAGAACAGUGCCGUGGCAUGCUGUCUGCAUUUCAAGGGCGCCUGCCCCAGCCAGGCGCUGCAGGUCUCCCAGCUCACGGAGUCACCUGUGUGGGCCAGGUCUAGGUAUCGCCGUCUACCAAGCGGAGAGACUGAGGCUCUGAGGGGAAGCAAAGCCCUACAUUCUGGUUGUUUCGAGUUCUGUCACUUGCUGGCUGUGGCACUUCCCACGACUUGUUGCUUCUUCCCGGGCCUGUGAAUUCACAACACCAGGGAACCAGGGGAGAGGCCCAGGAAGGGAGGGAGACUGCUGUGCCCUAUUGGCAGAGCUAUGGCAGGGAGAGGGACAGAGAUGCACAGACUAAGAGAGGGAAGAGAGAGGGAAAAAAAUCAGAAGAGAGAGAAGUAGGAGGGAAUCAAAGGAGGAGGAGAGAAAGGCAUCCAGUUCUGCCUGGCACUGAGGAUCUCACCAAUCCAAAGUGGUCCCUGAUCCGAAACUCAGCUCUGCUCUGGUGCCAUGGGCACAGACUCCACCGGAAACCAGACUACAGACUGCUGUGCUGCCCCACAAAUGGCCAGCUGCUGAAGGAGGGGCUGUGUGGCAGAACUGAGCCUGCCUAUCUAUGACGCCUACGCCCAGGUUCACCAAGGUCUGCCCUUCCCAGGCCCAAAGGAGCCCUGCCCUGUCCCCCACCCUCCAUCUUCCCCCAGGCUGCCUCUCUGCCCACCGAGGCUAGGGCAGAGGAAGGGAAGCAGCCCCGAACAUGCUAAUCAGACCGGAACACUUGCAGGAGAAGCUGACUUGUCUCAACUGUGACAGCCCAGGGCACAGGAGGGGCAAAGCUGGAGCCUGUCCCCAAGCCCAGCAGCAAAGAGGUGCCAGGCACAGCGCACUCCAGGAUCUACGGCAAUCAACCUGCCCAGUGUGAGUGUGGGCCUCCUGGUCCGCCGAACACGCAGCUCUCCCUUCCCUCCUUGAUGCCUCCAGGCCUCAGCAAGGCUCCUCCUCUCUCCCCGCUCUCCUUUUGGGGUCCUGGAGGUGACAGGAGCACUGUCUUGUAGCAGUUAGGUCUGCACACUGCUGAGGCUUUAUGGCCGAGGACCCCCGUGUCCGAGAGUGAGCUGACCAGUGCCAAUCACACAGGGACGGGGAGGCAGGGCUGGGGCCUCUGCCUCCCUGAUGCUGCUUGUCCCCCAACAGCACAAGCAAAGUGCCUGUCCCUCCUGCCUACACACGCUGUUGUCCCCAAGGGCACAGGCAUUUCUCCUCUGAACGUGCCCAGUCGUGCCACCUCCUCUCUCAGGAAACACCAGUUGGGAGUGCUGGGAGCGGUCCCCUCUCCUCUCGCCCUCCCCGCAGGCCUCUGCCUGUCUGCUUCCGGUUGGUCUGGGUGACCUCUGAGGUCCCCCGCGGGCUACUUCUAGCUGGCCUUCCAGCUCUUCGCGCAGACAGCCUGGCCGGCGGCCACACGGUGGCGCCAGACCCUAAGCGUCGCGGGAGGGACGCUGCACCCCGGUGAUCUCAUACCUAGGACGCGCGCGCCCUCCUCUGCGACAGCGCGGGUACAGGGCCGGUGGGUGAGGCGCGGUGCGACCGGAGGUGAGGCGCGGUGCGACCGGAGGUGCAGCGUCGCGAGGGGAAGGCACAGUGAUGCAGGCGACACGCGGCUGCCAGGCCUCCAAACUCCCGAGUCUUCCCUUCCUUGGCAGGUUCCAGAUGAGAAGACACCAACCUGCUCCUCCUGGGUCUGCUUCCAUGUCUGUGUCACCUCCUGUCGCACUGCCUCCCCCGAGAACACUGGCUCAUAUGGAGCACAGGUGGUAAUGCAGAGAGCGCUCGGAACUGGGCCUGGCCUGUGCCCCCCAGGACUGUCAGCAUGGGCAGGUCACCUCCUGACUUAGCCCCGGCCACCCAAAUGCAGCAGGGAGGGCGAGCUGCCUGGCCUCUGAGCUUCUGCCCACAUUUUAUGACCUCAUUCUUCCUCAAGCAAGCUGCUUCACACGGUGCAAAGUAUUAACUCAUUUACUCCUCAUAACCACAGUAUUAGCCUCAUCUCACGGGAGGAAAACUGCAGCCUCAGUUUACCCAGCUGCAUAAGUGGCUGCACAGGGCUUUGCAUCAUCAGGCAGCCUGGUCCAGGGCUAGUGCCCUUAGCGCCUGCCACAUGCCUCUGUGGGACUCCAUUGCCUCUGCCUUCAGCACUAAGUCCAGCCUGCCCCUCGUGACAGCGGAGAAGCAGGGUUUGCCCUGAACCCUGGGCUCCCUCGCAGUCUGCCACACAGCUGUGUUACCUGGUCCAGUGGGGCCCAGGAAUGGAUGCCUCUGAGAAUGGGAGCGGCCAGCAGGGGAACAUUGAAGCCACCACCUGGUGGGUGAGCCCUGCUCCCUGGGGUGCACUCUUCCUGUCUUCUGUCAGCCACUCUGCUCCACUGUGAGCCUUGGAAUUAUUUGCAACCCCCAUCUCUGGCUCUAGGAGAACCCUCGAGUCCUGUGAGCAGGCUUUUUGACAUCAGCACUUCUUUUUUCUGUUGACUCAUCUGAGAUUCAGAGAGACUGACCGAUUUCCCCAAAAUCACAUAGCCAGUCAUGGUCUGGGCAAAUUGGAGAAGAAAUCCCAGACUGUCUUGCUCCACUGGGUGUUAGCGAGGGCUCUGCCCAAGCCUGGCUGAGACGGAAAAUAAGCGAUUUCCACAAGGGGCAGGAGGCUGAAGUUUGCCUGUCUGGGCCUACAAUCCCUUGCUUGCAGAAGUGGCGUUGAAACUUUUGAUUGUGGAGAACAACCCACCCUGAGAGCUCCUUGCAGGGCUGUGCCCAGAUCUUAAGGGAACCUUGAAAAAGGGAGUAAAUCCUGCCGUCACUUAAACUAUAAACAACUCCAGAUCUGCGUGCUCUUUUCUGGAAAGUGGAAAAGGAAGCAGACUUCCCUAUUCAUUUUAUGAGACCAGCAUUACCCCGUCAUGACAGCCAGACAAACUCGUCGCAGGAAAAUUAAACUGCAUGCAAUAUUCCUCUAAAUAAAGAUGCAAAUGUCUUCAAAAAUAUCAGCAAAUCAAAUAGUGUGUUGAAAGAAUGAUGCGACAGAUCUGACUAGGGUUUAUGUGCGAACUGGAAGGCUAGUUCAGUAUUCAAAAAAAACAAUUGAAGUAAUCUAUGAUAUUAUUCACAAAAACCACCUGGCACAUCAAUGGAUGCAGAAAUAAGGCGGUUGACAAAAUUUAACAUCCACUCAUGGUAAAAAAAAAAAAAAAACAACAACAACUCAGCAAACUAAACAUGAAAGGAUAUUUCCUCAACCCAACGUGGACAUGGGGCCUUUACAGAAACCUACAGUUAAUGUCAUACUCAAUGAUAAAAGGUGGAAUGCUUUAGUCUUAAGGUCGGGAAUGAGGCCGUGAUGUUAUUUUCCCCUCCCUUUGAUUUAGUAUCGUACUGGAAGGCUAGCCUGUGCACGAAGUUAAAGACAAAUAUACACAGAAAGACUGCUAAGAAAGGAGUGAAACUGCCCCAAAUGUAAGUGACAUGAUUGCUGAGACUGAAAACACGAAGUAGCUAUAAAACUCCAUGGAAUUCAUUCAUAAAUCUAGCAAUGUCUUACAGUACUAGGUCAGCAUAUAAAAAUCAAUAGCAUUUUAUAAACUAUUGAUGGGCAACAAAUUUUUAAGAUAUACACUAUUUAAAUUAGCUCCAAAAAUGAAAUUCUUAGAUAGAAUUCUAAUGAAAUAUGCAAUGUUUGCAUGCUGAAGCUACAAAAUGCUAAUCAAAGAAAAUCUAGAUGAUAGUGAGACAUACAAAGCUCAUGGAUUGGAAGAUGCGGUUUUGUAAAGGUGACAGUUGCCCCAAAAUUGAUUUAUACAUUAGAAGUAAUUUCAGUAAAAAUAAACAUACCAACAGGAUUUUUUUUUUUUUUUUGCAGAUUCUAAAAUCUCCAUAGAAAGGUAAAGGACCUAGAGUAGCCAAAAUAACUUCACAAAAGAAUAAAUUUGAAGAACUCACACUAUGAUUUUGGGACUUUACUAAAAAACUACAGAGUCACAUUGGCAGAGAGAAAUGUGGAUCAGGGAAAGAGAACAGAGCCCAGGAGCAGGCCAUGUAAUUACAGUGAACUGGUUUCUUAUAGAAGCGCUAAGUCACCUCAGUCAAGAAAAGAAAGUCUGCCCAAUGACACAGGAACAGUUAGUUGUUCAUAUGCAACAGUUAACAAGAUGUAGCAUAGGUUAAGAUGUAAAAGAAAGAUUUUAAAAGGAAAACCUAGGAGAAAAUCUUCAUGGCCUUGCCUUGGGUAGAGUUCUUACAUAUGACAGCAAACUCAUGAUCCAUAAAAGAAAGCUUGAUGAAUGAAACUUCAUCAAAAUUAAAAAUUCCUGUUAUGUGAUGGCAUUGUUAAGAAAAGGCAGGCUAGGACAGUGUGGCGAACCUUUUAGAGCUUUCAGUGAUAAACAGCCUGGUGCUUCAUGGGUGCCAUGGGUUCACUAUCUCUGGUCUGAAGACAUCAGGAAACCCGAGACCAGAAUAUAUAAUGGAUGCUCCAAAGCCAUCAGUGAGACAACACAUCAACCCAGUGUUUCAAAAUGGGCCAAAUUUUUGAACAGACGUUUCACCAAAGAAGGCAUACAAUGGUAAAUAAGCACAGGAAAAGAGCUCAACAUUGUAAAAUCAGGAAACAAAUAUAAAAUCGCAAUGAAAAAACACACAACGAGUCAUUGCUUCCUACGGAAAUCACUAAAACUUGUAUUGGACUGACAAUAUCAAGUGCUGGAGGGAGUAUGGAGCAACAGGAAUGCUCACAGAAGGCAGGGAUGAAAGCAAUGGUCCAGGCUCCCUGGGGAACAGCUGAGAGUCUCAUAAAGUAAACCAUGCUCUCGC